GGACUCGCACAAGCGGUGGAACAUGUGGUUUAAUUCGAUACUACGCGAAAAACCUUACCAAGUCUUGACAUGUUAGUCGUAUAGUUAAGAAAUUAGCUAGUCAGUUUGGCUGGACUAUCACAGGUGUUGCAUGGCUGUCGUCAGCUCGUGUCGUGAGAUGUUGGGUUAAGUCCCGCAACGAGCGCAACCCUUAUCUUUAUUUGCUACCAGGUUAUGCUGAGAACUUUAAAGAAACUGCCAAUUAAAAACUGGAGGAAGGUGAGGAUGACGUCAAGUCAGCAUGGCCCUUAUGACUUGGGCUACACACGUGUUACAAUGGUAGUGACAAUAUGAUGCAAUAAGAUGACUUGAGCAGA
rnacentral:rRNA from 1 species